rnacentral:rRNA from 1 species
UACGUAUGGUGCAAGCGUUAUCCGGAUUUACUGGGUGUAAAGGGAGCGCAGGCGGCGCGUUAAGCCUGGUGUGAAAGCCCGCGGCCCAACCGCGGGACUGCAUUGGGAACUGGCGCGCUGGAGUGCCGGGGGGGUAGGCGGAAUUCCUAGUGUAGCGGUGAAAUGCGUAGAUAUUAGGAGGAACACCAGUGGCGAAGGCGGCCUACUGGACGGUGACUGACGCUGAGGCUCGAAAGCGUGGGGAGCAAACAGG